rnacentral:tRNA from 1 species
AUUUACGUAGUAUAAAAAUUAUUUUUAACUUCCAAUUAAAAGAUCUACGAAUAGCGUAAAUA